rnacentral:lncRNA from 1 species
CAAAUCCUUCUCAUUAAGGUAACUUAUUUGCUCAAUAAAACCCUUUUUCAUCAUCCAUUUGUUAUUAAUCUAAUUUGUUCUCAAUGAAUUUAGAUAAAAUUCAAUCAAAUUAAGCACUAAUUCAUCAUUCUCUUCUCUUCUCUCCAAGUUUCGAAUUUUUAUCAAAUUUCGAAUUGUUCUUUAAAUUUCUCAUCACAGUUCAAUUUUUUUAUCUUCUACCCCUUAAGGUUUUGUAUGUUCGUCAGCAAAUUAUAAUUGAGAAUCCUAACAAAUUAUAAGUGUUUGUGAAAGUCCGUUUUGAUUGGGUAUAAUUGUUCACAAACUACUUAGUUUGUUUAAUUUUAAAUGAUAUCUAGAUCAUUUUAAAUUAACACUCACUAAGGAACAUGAUCUGUUCUUAGCUUUAUUUUCUGUUAAAUUGUUUUAGUUUUUGCUAUAAUUGUCGGUUGAGGUUAAGUUCAAUUGUUGGUUUCCAAUGAUCGCAGAUUGACAGUUUGAAAGGGUAUUUGGUGUGUGUGAGCGACCACAGAUACCAGGUCAAUUUUUUAAUUACUUCCCUAAACAUGUCAAUCUUGCAUCUUCCAUUAGGAUAUGCAAGUUGAUUGAUGUAUUUAUUUUUCAGCUUAAAUAUAUAUCCUCUGUGUAAUUACUUUAUCUCCUAAAUUGGACGUGUCACUGGUUUUAAGUACAGUUGUCUGAGGCUUUUAAGCAUUGGUCCACAGACUAUUUAAAAACAAGCAUUCAGUUUAAUAUGUCUGUCAACAAAUUAGUGUUAUAAUAUGGUCCUGAAUAUGAUACCAGUUGAAUAGUUGUGUUAACAUAGGUUGUAUCAUGUCAAUAUGACCCAUGAAUAAUAAUAACUUCCAUUAUCGGUGGUUUAUAAUUUUAAGAAAACCGACAAAGCAAACGAGUAAUAUGAUUACUUCUCUUAAUUUCUGUUAAUAGCCCAAAAAGUCAUUAUGACCCAUGAAGACUUUUCCUAUUUGCAUUGAGUGACGUUUUUUUUAUUAUGUUACAACCUUAAAGUCAGGUACUCUUACAAUCAUUCAAAUCAAAACCGUCAAUGAACUGGCUACUAUUCAAUUUAGUACUUUUUUUUAACCUUCUCAUAUUCAGUGGAGUUUUUUUCCCCAACUAAGGAUUAAAACAAACAAUAAUAGGAAGUGUAUACUGCCUUAGAUUUUAUUCUGUUUAAACGCCUUGGACUUCCUUGAUUAAGUGUAAACGCCUUGGACUUCCUUCGAACUCCAUCUGGACAAACUAUAUUUUUGCAUAUACUACUUAAUUAAUGAUUUUGGUAAUAUGUAGAUUGCACAACAAUGCAUUCUUCAAGGGAAGACAUUGCACUUAAGAGGAGUCAAGCAUCUAAGUGUUACAGUUGUCAUUGCAUGGGGGUAAAGGGACAAUUAGUGAUCUUUCGAAGGGCUAAUGACAGAUUAGACAUUUUUUUUAUUCCAAAAGCAGCGAGGUUAUAACUUAUCACUAUAUGUUACUAAAAAUUUGGCUGAAGCGUAACAUAGAAAAAUUGUUAUGAGUAGCACUUCCUCUUGUUGUUGUUGUGUGAGUGGUGUGGAGCAUGGGUAAUGAUCUGAUCUGAUGAGAUACAUAGUUUGCUAUUGACGCGAAUUUGAAGAGGGUAAAGGCUACAACCUGGGCAGAUGAUGGCUUGAAAGAGAGAGAGGGAAAUAUAAUUACUCAGAGAUGCUAUUCAGAUGGAAGGAAACACUGAGUUAUCAGCCAGGGAACUGAAAUUACUGGUGGGCUUUUGGCUAUCAGAAACAGGAAUAGAGGGCAACAUAAUUCAGCAAUAACAGUGGCGUUUAGGGGCAUCAACGAUAGCAAGCCAGAGGUGGGUUUAAAGAGAAUAUAGUUGUAGUUUGGAAUGGCAAAACUGGAAGUGUGAAGUGAUAGGCUAUAUGUGUCUUCUAUUUUGUAGUUUGUAAUGAUGAUAAUUUCUAUUCAUUUUAAUGUCUGUCAUAUUGAUCAUAUGUAGGCAUAACCAAAUACUAUCAUGAAACAACUAUUCAUUUAAUGUCUGUCUUAUUCAUUUGUUUUAAUGUUUUCAAUUUCCCUUUAAC